AACGAACGCUGGCGGCAGGCUUAACACAUGCAAGUCGAACGCCCCGCAAGGGGAGUGGCAGACGGGUGAGUAACGCGUGGGAACGUGCCCUUCGCUUCGGAAUAGCCCCGGGAAACUGGGAGUAAUACCGGAUACGCCGUAUUGGGAAAGAUUUAUCGGCGAAGGAUCGGCCCGCGUUAGAUUAGCUAGUUAGCGGUGUAAUGGACCACCAAGGCUACGAUCUAUAGCUGGUCUGAGAGGAUGAUCAGCCACACUGGGACUGAGACACGGCCCAGACUCCUACGGGAGGCAGCAGUGGGGAAUCUUGGACAAUGGGCGCAAGCCUGAUCCAGCCAUGCCGCGUGAGUGAAGAAGGCCUUAGGGUUGUAAAACUCUUUCGCCGGAGAAGAUAAUGACGGUAUCCGGAGAAGAAGCCCCGGCUAACUUCGUGCCAGCCGCCGCCGUAACAC
rnacentral:rRNA from 1 species